ACAUUUUGUAUAUCGCGCUUCACCUCUAACUCACUCACUCACUCAGUCGCUCUUUUACAAACUCUUGUACUACUACUACUAUUAUCAGUAUCUUGUGCUUGGUAAGGGAUGAAACUUGGAUGAUAUUCUGUCAGAGUGAUAAACAAGGAAACAUAGCCCUGACUUGACUGACUGACUACUCGUUUUUCACAGCGCGCUUACAGCCAUAGGAGUAUCAAGAAAUAAAAUUGUAAAAAACAUAAAAUGAGAUGGAAAAGUCAGAUGCAUAAUAGUGAAGUAAAAAAACAAAAAAAAAGGAAAAAACGUGGAGAGAAAAGGGAAUUCCAUUUGGAAGAUUUAUGGUGACGGCAGCGAAUGUGCUUCCCAGUAGUAUAUUACGCACGUAACUUCAUGAUGCAUACAGGAUAGUGUCACGGGAAACCUGCUGUUGACCUGUUAUUGCUGCCAUCAAUAUAUAUAUACAUACAUAUAUAUAUAAAAACACUUUAAGCAGUAAUAACAGGAGCAACGACCAGCAAUGACGUUACAUAUAUAUGUUACCAGACAGCCAUUUUAUUUAUAUUCCUGUCUAUUAUUUAUUUAUUUAUCUUCAUUUAAUUGGAAGAUUAUUUCUACUUCAGUUAUUGGAUUUUCAUCAUGAAGGAAAUUAUUGUAAUACAUGAAUUAUAUUUUACAUCAGUUUUAAAUAAACAACUUACAGUGAAACAAAUUGAUAUGUAGAAGUUAGUGAUGCGAAAUAAAUAUAUUAAAUUAUUACAAUAAGCCAUUGUGAUAUUUAUUAUAUUUUUUAAAUAACUCCAAAGCUCAAUAGAAUAUUUAAUUAAAUUAAAUUGGAGUUAACAUUACAAACGAAUUGACUGAAAUAAUGUUUAUUAAUUAAAGCUUCAGUUAAGCAAAAGGCCAAGCAGUAGUAUCUACGAAUAAGAAGAUAGUAAUUUCAAGUGGAACAGACAUCAGCCACCAGCGAUUAUCGAUAUAUCAGAACAGUCGGCGUCGUGAUGUUGAACAAAAUAAGAAAUUAAUCAAAUAAAAUCGAAAAGUCGUCAGCAAAAAAAUAAAAUGAAUUGGAUAAUUUACUGGAAAAAUAAUUUACUUAUUCUAAACGUGCUCGAAGAUGAAACAUAAUCAAAUUGCAAUACGUUAAAUAAUAAAAGAAAUGAAGAAACGAUUUAUAAUUUAUAAUGGAAGAAUAAAAUGCA